GGCGUCCACACUUAUCGGUUUGUUUGAUGUUACAGCCAAGGGUCUGUAGCUCAGGUGGUUAGAGCACCGUCUUGAUAAGGCGGGGGUCGUAGGUUCAAGUCCUACCAGACCCACCAAGUUAUGGACGGUGGAAGUCUCUGCCGUGACUGGGGGAUUAGUUCAGCUGGGAGAGCACCUGCUUUGCAAGCAGGGGGUCGUCGGUUCGAUCCCGUCAUCCUCCACCAAUACCUUGUGGUUGCCAAACGCAAGCAUCGAGCUUUCGGUGUUUGCGUUUGGCAUUGCCAAGACGAGUAGUAACUCGGCUGUUCUUUAACAAUAUGGAAUGUAGUAAAGGUGUCGCGGAGCAUUGAUGAGAUGCUCGCAACAACGCGACACUGGGUUGUGAUUGUAUCAACCAGUAUUACGAGUGAUCGAAAGACCGCUUGGAAUACGGCACAACGCGAGAACUCAGCCUAUAUCGAGACAUACUCGUUAUAGGGUCAAGCGAAUAAGUGCAUGUGGUGGAUGCCUUGGCGAUCACAGGCGAUGAAGGACGUAGUAGCUUGCGAAAAGCUGCGGGGAGCUGGCAAACGAGC
rnacentral:misc_RNA from 1 species